rnacentral:rRNA from 1 species
GACGAACGCUGGCGGCGUGCUUAACACAUGCAAGUCGAACGGAAAGGCCCUGCUUUUGUGGGGUGCUCGAGUGGCGAACGGGUGAGUAACACGUGAGUAACCUGCCCUUGACUUUGGGAUAACUUCAGGAAACUGGGGCUAAUACCGGAUAUGAGCUCCUGCUGCGUGGUGGGGGUUGGAAAGUUUCGGCGGUUGGGGAUGGACUCGCGGCUUAUCAGCUUGUUGGUGGGGUAGUGGCUUACCAAGGCUUUGACGGGUAGCCGGCCUGAGAGGGUGAACGGCCACAUUGGGAAUGAGAGACGGCCCAGACUGCUACGGGAGGCAGCAGGGGGGAAGAUUGCACAAUGGGCGGAAGCCUGAUGAAGCAACGCCGCGGGCGGGAUGACGGCCUUAGGGUUGUAAACCGCUUUCGCCUGUGACGAAGCGUGAGUGACGGUAAUGGGUAAAGAAGCACCGGCUAACUACGUG